AUUGAACGCUGGCGGCAGGCCUAACACAUGCAAGUCGAACGGUAACAGGAAGAAGCUUGCUUCUUUGCUGACGAGUGGCGGACGGGUGAGUAAUGUCUGGGAAACUGCCUGAUGGAGGGGGAUAACUACUGGAAACGGUAGCUAAUACCGCAUAACGUCGCAAGACCAAAGAGGGGGACCUUCGGGCCUCUUGCCAUCGGAUGUGCCCAGAUGGGAUUAGCUAGUAGGUGGGGUAACGGCUCACCUAGGCGACGAUCCCUAGCUGGUCUGAGAGGAUGACCAGCCACACUGGAACUGAGACACGGUCCAGACUCCUACGGGAGGCAGCAGUGGGGAAUAUUGCACAAUGGGCGCAAGCCUGAUGCAGCCAUGCCGCGUGUAUGAAGAAGGCCUUCGGGUUGUAAAGUACUUUCAGCGGGGAGGAGGGGAGUAAAGUUAAUACCUUUACUCAUUGACGUUACCCGCAGAAGAAGCACCGGCUAACUCCGUG
rnacentral:rRNA from 1 species